rnacentral:rRNA from 1 species
GGACCCGCACAAGCAGUGGAGCAUGUGGUUUAAUUCGAAGAUACGCGCAGAACCUUACCAACGCUUGACAUGUUCGUCGCGAAACUAAGAGAUUAGUUUCUUCAGUUCGGCUGGACGAAACACAGGUGCUGCAUGGCUGUCGUCAGCUCGUGUCGUGAGAUGUUGGGUUAAGUCCCGCAACGAGCGCAACCCCCUACUUUUAGUUGCCACCAUUUAGUUGGGCACUUUAAAAGAACUGCCAGUGAUAAGCUGGAGGAAGGUGGGGAUGACGUCAAGUCCUCAUGGCCCUUAUGUGUUGGGCUACACACGUGCUACAAUGGCACUUACAAUGGGAUGCAAAGAGGUGACUCUAAGCUAAUCCCAAAAAUGUGUCUCAGUUCGGAUUGUACUCUGUAACUCGAGUGCAUGAAGCUGGAAUUGCUAGUAAUCG